rnacentral:rRNA from 1 species
GGGGACCCGCAAGCGGUGGAUUAUGUGGAUUAAUUCGAUGCAACGCGAAAAACCUUACCUACCCUUGACAUGCCAGGAACCUCGCAGAGAUGUGAGGGUGCCCGAAAGGGAACCUGGACACAGGUGCUGCAUGGCUGUCGUCAGCUCGUGUCGUGAGAUGUUGGGUUAAGUCCCGCAACGAGCGCAACCCUUGCCAUUAGUUGCUACAUUUAGUUGAGCACUCUAAUGGGACUGCCGGUGACAAACCGGAGGAAGGUGGGGAUGACGUCAAGUCCUCAUGGCCCUUAUGGGUAGGGCUUCACACGUAAUACAAUGGCCGGUACAGAGGGCAGCCAACUCGCGAGAGGGAGCUAAUCCCAGAAAGCCGGUCGUAGUCCGGAUUGCAGUCUGCAACUCGACUGCAUGAAGCCGGAAUCGCUAGUAAUCGCGGAUCAGCAUGUCGCGGUGAAUACGUUCCCGGGUCUUGUACACACC